GUCCUACGGGUGGCUGCAGUGGGGAAUAUUGGACAAUGGGCGCAAGCCUGAUCCAGCCAUGCCGCGUGAGUGAUGAAGGCCUUAGGGUUGUAAAGCUCUUUCGUCAGGGAAGAUAAUGACGGUACCUGAAGAAGAAGCCCCGGCUAACUUCGUGCCAGCAGCCGCGGUAAUACGCAGGGGGCUAGCGUUGCUCGGAAUCACUGGGCGUAAAGCGCACGUAGGCGGCUUUCUAAGUCAGGGGUGAAAUCCCGGAGCUCAACUCCGGAACUGCCUUUGAUACUGGAAAGCUUGAGUUCGGGAGAGGUGAGUGGAACUGCGAGUGUAGAGGUGAAAUUCGUAGAUAUUCGCAAGAACACCAGUGGCGAAGGCGGCUCACUGGCCCGAUACUGACGCUGAGGUGCGAAAGCGUGGGGAGCAAACAGGAUUAGAUACCCCUGUAGUCCC
rnacentral:rRNA from 1 species